rnacentral:rRNA from 1 species
UACGGGGGGAGCAAGCGUUGUUCGGAUUUACUGGGCGUAAAGGGCGCGUAGGCGGCCAGUGCAAGUCAGUUGUGAAAUCUCCGAGCUUAACUCGGAAAGGUCAACUGAUACUGCUCGGCUAGAGUGCGGAAGGGGCAACUGGAAUUCUUGGUGUAGCGGUGAAAUGCGUAGAUAUCAAGAGGAACACCUGCGGCGAAGGCGGGUUGCUGGGCCGACACUGACGCUGAUGCGCGAAAGCUAGGGGAGCGAACCGG